UAGAGUUUGAUCCUGGCUCAGGAUGAACGCUGGCGGCGUGCUUAACACAUGCAAGUCGAACGAACCUUCGGGUUAGUGGCGGACGGGUGAGUAACGCGUGAGAAUCUGCCCUCAGGAGGGGGAUAACGGUUGGAAACGACCGCUAAUACCCCAUAUGCCGAUAGGUGAAAUGAAUUUCGCCUGAGGAUGAGCUCGCGUCUGAUUAGCUUGUUGGUGAGGUAAUGGCUCACCAAGGCUUCGAUCAGUAGCUGGUCUGAGAGGAUGAUCAGCCACACUGGGACUGAGACACGGCCCAGACUCCUACGGGAGGCAGCAGUGGGGAAUUUUCCGCAAUGGGCGAAAGCCUGACGGAGCAACGCCGCGUGAGGGACGAAGGCCUCUGGGCUGUAAACCUCUUUUCUCAAGGAAGAAGAUAUGACGGUACUUGAGGAAUAAGCCACGGCUAAUUCCGUGCCAGCAGCCGCGGUAAUACGGGAGUGGCAAGCGUUAUCCGGAAUUAUUGGGCGUAAAGCGUCCGCAGGCGGCUUUUCAAGUCUGCUGUUAAAGCGUGGAGCUUAACUCCAUUAUGGCAGUGGAAACUGAUAGGCUUGAGUAUGGUAGGGGCAGAGGGAAUUCCCGGUGUAGCGGUGAAAUGCGUAGAUAUCGGGAAGAACACCAGUGGCGAAGGCGCUCUGCUGGGCCAUUACUGACGCUCAUGGACGAAAGACAGGGGAGCGAAAGGGAUUAGAUACCCCUGUAGUCCUGGCCGUAAACGAUGAACACUAGGUGUCGGGGGAAUCGACCCCUUCGGUGUCGUAGCUAACGCGUUAAGUGUUCCGCCUGGGGAGUACGCACGCAAGUGUGAAACUCAAAGGAAUUGACGGGGGCCCGCACAAGCGGUGGAGUAUGUGGUUUAAUUCGAUGCAACGCGAAGAACCUUACCAGGGUUUGACAUCCUGAGAACCUCUUAGAAAUUUGAGGGUGCCUUCGGGAAUUCAGUGACAGGUGGUGCAUGGCUGUCGUCAGCUCGUGUCGUGAGAUGUUGGGUUAAGUCCCGCAACGAGCGCAACCCACGUUUUUAGUUGCCAGCAUUAGUUGGGCACUCUAGAAAGACCGCCGGUGAUAAACCGGAGGAAGGUGUGGAUGACGUCAAGUCAUCAUGCCCCUUACACCCUGGGCUACACACGUACUACAAUGCCACGGACAAAGGGCAGCAAACUCGCGAGAGCUAGCAAAUCCCAUAAACCGUGGCUCAGUUCAGAUCGUAGGCUGCAACUCGCCUACGUGAAGUAGGAAUCGCUAGUAAUCGCAGGUCAGCAUACUGCGGUGAAUACGUUCCCGGGCCUUGUACACACCGCCCGUCACACCAUGGAAGUUGGCCAUGCCCGAAGUCGUUACUCCAACCCUUGUGGAGGAGGACGCCGAAGGUGGGGCUAAUGACUGGGGUGAAGUCGUAACAAGGUAACCA
rnacentral:rRNA from 1 species